AGUGAACGCUGGCGGCAGGCCUAACACAUGCAAGUCGAACGGCAGCGCAGUAACAACCCUGUCUUCCGGCUGCGGACGGGUGAGGGAUUCGGCGGAAUCUCCCUUUUUGUUUUUUAGAACGUGGUGAAGCAUACACUCAUACCCCAUUCGUCCUUCGGGAGUAAGUGUGGGACCGCAAGGCCUCCCGCACAAACAUGAGCGAACGACCGAUUAUCGAGUUGGUGGGUUAAAGGCCCACCAGGGCGACGAUCGGUCGCUGGUCUGAGAGGAUGAGCAGCCAAACGGGAAUUGGGAACCGGCCCAGCCUCCUAGGGGAGGCAGCAGUGGGGAAUAUUGGAAAAUGGGCGAAAGCUUGACCAAGCCAUGCCGCGUGUGUGAAGAAGGCCUUCGGGUUGUAAAGCACUUUUGUCCGGAAAGAAAUCCCUGGAGUUAAUCCCCGCGGGGGAGGCCGGUACCGGAAGAAUAAGCACCGGCUAACUCCGU
rnacentral:rRNA from 1 species